rnacentral:rRNA from 1 species
CGCAAUGGGCGAAAGCCUGAUGGAGCGACACCGCGUGAAGGAUGAAGCCUUUGUUGGUGUAAACUUCUUUUCUCUGGGAAGAUAAUGACGGUACCAGAGGAAUAAGGGGCGGCAAACUUCGUGCCAGCAGCCGCGGUAAUACGAAGGCCCCAAGCGUUAUCCGGAAUUACUGGGCGUAAAGCGUCUGUAGGUGGUUCGGAAAGUUUCAAGUGAAAGGUCAGGGCUCAACCCUGUACUUGCUUGGAAAACUAUCGAACUUGAGUGCGGGAGAGGCAAGCAGAACUGUAUGAGUAGGGGUGCAAUCCGUUGAUACAUACAAGAAUACCAAAAGCGAAGGCAGCUUGCUGGAACGCCACUGACACUGAGAGACGAAAGCGU